ACUUAAUUGAAACAUAUAUAUAUACAUAUACAUACAUAUAUAUACAUAUAUACAUAUAUAUAUACAUACAUAUAUAUAUAAGUUUUGCAGUGAUAUAUAUAUAUAUAUAUGUUUGGCAGUGAUCUCGUGCUCCUGGUUCUUGCCUAGUUUCUGCUUAAAUAAGCUGAGAGGCUUCUGCUACUUUCGAUGGACUUUGUUUAAAACCUCUGUUGAAAACUCUUAACAUCUGGCAAUGCUAAACUGAAAAAGCAGUAUUGAAAGUAAGAGUUUGUCACGUAGAACCCAGAUCAAUGUGCUGGGCUCUGUGCUUUGCAUUUAAGAAAGGCUGAGAGAAAAGAAAAGGGAGAGAGUCUUUUCCUAGAAGAACCUAGAACAAGAUCUUAAACCAUGAGUGCUGGGGUAUCGGAAUUCCUUAUUACCCAAAUAUGUGGAAAUCUCGCCUUCAUCAGAAGUUCCUACACAAUUUUGGCACAAAUAUAACAAUUAUAUCUGCAAAUGAGAAAAAUGUGUUCUGUAAUAAGACUUGCCUGGACUGCAAAUUAAAAUGUUUAAAGAACACCAUUCUUUAAUUUUAGGCUCACCUUUAGUGGAAUGUGAUUUAGUAGAUUCCUUGUCUACUCCUUGCUCAGCCUUUGCUGCCUAAACAUAGGAUGUGCUGCUCAGGUCCAUGUGCUCAGGUCCACUGUCAGGGAGAAGCUGGCAGCUCUGAGGGGAGCAGGGUGAAGCCAAAUACUGAACUGCAUGCUGGAGGCUGCUGUUGACUACAAAAGGAGUUGAAGUGACCAGCUGAGAUCAGCUUCUAAAUGGGUAAACCCAGUAUUAAAGGCAGAAAUCAAAGCACAGGACCCAUGGGAAGCGACGUUUCAAAUGUACACCAUUGCUUUUCUUCGUCAUUGUUCUGAACUGUGCACCCUCUGCUCCUGACAGUGCACCCACAACAAGAUAAGGAGUUUGAGUACAUAAGUGUCUUCUGUGGGAAGAGGAGCAACAGCUGCCCACCAAAUUGGAAGAAGAUAUAAUGAAUGCAUCUUCUCUGAAUCACAAGAAAAAGACUAUUUCAACUUAAGAGAACAUUUUAAUCUCAGUCAAAAUGGGGCAUCUUCACCAUAAGGUUGUCUGCAGUCAUGGUGGCUGCUGAACCUAAGCUGAACUAUAAUGCCUCCUGGUGCAGAGGAGCAGAGGUGCCAGGGAAGGCUGGAAGCCACUUCUGAAGCAGGGGGCAGCUUUUAUUGCAGAGAGCUGCUGCAGGGUGCCCAGCCCAUGGAAAAGGGAAUGGAGGGGCUGAGGGCAGCACUGGCACAUGUGUCCUGUGGCUCUGCGGUGGGCUUUGGCUCCAGGGCAUGGCAGUAAGCCAUGACCCAGGCAACUCCAGGCCUCUCUGGACUCUCGUGGAGGCUGUUGGACCCAGAGGUCAUCCUGACACCCUGCUCCAAGACAGCCGCUGGCUUCGGCAAUACACACGGUGAUGUUAAUUUUGAUUUGGAGUGUGCAGUAACGAGCAAGCAGUGUGAUUAAUGCAUAAAGCUGACAGAAUGCACAGGCAUCUUCAAAGAAGCAGAGUGUAAGAGGUCAAGAAGGGUGUGUGGGGUGAAAUGAUGUUUCAGAAGCAGAAAGCGUGCCUGG
ensembl:lncRNA